rnacentral:rRNA from 1 species
GACGAACGCUGGCGGCGUGCCUAAUACAUGCAAGUUGAGCGCUGAAGGUUGGUACUUGUACCGACUGGAUGAGCAGCGAACGGGUGAGUAACGCGUGGGGAAUCUGCCUUUGAGCGGGGGACAACAUUUGGAAACGAAUGCUAAUACCGCAUAAAAACUUUAAACACAAGUUUUAAGUUUGAAAGAUGCAAUUGCAUCACUCAAAGAUGAUCCCGCGUUGUAUUAGCUAGUUGGUGAGGUAAAGGCUCACCCAGGCGAUGAUACAUAGCCGACCUGAGAGGGUGAUCGGCCACAUUGGGACUGAGACACGGCCCAAACUCCUACGGGAGGCAGCAGUAGGGAAUCUUCGGCAAUGGACGAAAGUCUGACCGAGCAACGCCGCGGGAGUGAAGAAGGUUUUCGGAUCGUAAAACUCUGUUGGUAGAGAAGAACGUUGGUGAGAGUGGAAAGCUCAUCAAGUGACGGUAACUACCCAGAAAGGGACGGCUAACUACGUG